rnacentral:tRNA from 1 species
UCCUGAGUAGCUCAGCUGGUUAGAGCACCUGACUGUUAAUCAGGGGGUCCACAGUUCAAGUCUGUGCUCAGGAGCAA